rnacentral:piRNA from 1 species
UCCUACCUUUUCUUCAGCCAGCUCUGUU